GUGCCAGCCGCCGCGGUAAUACGUAGGGCGCAAGCGUUAUCCGGAUUUAUUGGGCGUAAAGGGCUCGUAGGCGGCUCGUCGCGUCNCGGUGUGAAAGUCCAUCGCUUAACGGUGGAUCUGCGCCGGGUACGGGCGGGCUGGAGUGCGGUAGGGGAGACUGGAAUUCCCGGUGUAACGGUGGAAUGUGUAGAUAUCGGGAAGAACACCGAUGGCGAAGGCAGGUCUCUGGGCCGUCACUGACGCUGAGGAGCGAAAGCGUGGGGAGCGAACAGGAUU
rnacentral:rRNA from 1 species